UGCAUGCGGUGCUAUACAUGCAGUCGAGCGGACCAGAAAUCUGGAGCUUGCUCUGGUUUGGUCAGCGGCGGACGGGUGAGUAACACGUGGGCAACCUGCCCGCAAGACCGGGAUAACUCCGGGAAACCGGAGCUAAUACCGGAUAACACCGAAGACCGCAUGGUCUUUGGUUGAAAGGCGGCCUUUGGCUGUCACUUGCGGAUGGGCCCGCGGCGCAUUAGCUAGUUGGUGAGGUAACGGCUCACCAAGGCGACGAUGCGUAGCCGGCCUGAGAGGGUGACCGGCCACACUGGGACUGAGACACGGCCCAGACUCCUACGGGAGGCAGCAGUAGGGAAUCUUCCGCAAUGGGCGAAAGCCUGACGGAGCGACGCCGCGUGAGCGAAGAAGGCCUUCGGGUCGUAAAGCUCUGUUGUGAGGGACGAAGGAGCGCCGUUCGAAGAGGGCGGCGCGGUGACGGUACCUCACGAGGAAGCCCCGGCUAACUACGUGCCAGCAGCCGCGGUAAUACGUAGGGGGCGAGCGUUGUCCGGAAUUAUUGGGCGUAAAGCGCGCGCAGGCGGUUCCUUAAGUCUGAUGUGAAAGCCCACGGCUCAACCGUGGAGGGUCAUUGGAAACUGGGGGACUUGAGUGCAGGAGA
rnacentral:rRNA from 1 species